AACGAACGCUGGCGGCAUGCCUAACACAUGCCAGUCGAACGAGACCUUCGGGUCUAGUGGCGCACGGGUGCGUAACGCGUGGGAACCUGCCCUUAGGUUCGGAAUAACUCCCCGAAAGGGGUGCUAAUACCGGAUAAUGUCUUCGGACCAAAGAUUUAUCGCCUUUGGAUGGGCCCGCGUUGGAUUAGCUAGUUGGUAGGGUAAAAGCCUACCAAGGCGACGAUCCAUAGCUGGUCUGAGAGGAUGAUCAGCCACACUGGGACUGAGACACGGCCCAGACUCCUACGGGAGGCAGCAGUGGGGAAUAUGGGGCAAUGGGCGAAAGCCUGAUCCAGCAAUGCCGCGGGAGUGAUGAAGGCCUUAGGGUUGUAAAGCUCUUUUACCCGGGAUGAUAAUGACAGUACCGGGAGAAUAAGCUCCGGCUAACUCCGG
rnacentral:rRNA from 1 species